rnacentral:lncRNA from 1 species
UUUCCCAAAGAGACCACAAGUGGUGGCAAGUGGACGGUCAGCCGGCCUCACAGGAGGUGCUCUCAGGAUUGAUGAGGGAGAAGAGAGCCAAAUGAACAAUACUCCUCACGGCAUUAUUUUUAUAAUCGAGGUGGCAGUCUGGAGAAGCAUCCUUAGAUGUGU